rnacentral:rRNA from 1 species
UACGAAGGGGGCUAGCGUUGCUCGGAAUUACUGGGCGUAAAGGGCGCGUAGGCGGACAGUUUAGUCAGAGGUGAAAGCCCAGGGCUCAACCUUGGAAUUGCCUUUGAUACUGGCUGUCUUGAGUUCGGGAGAGGUGAGUGGAAUGCCGAGUGUAGAGGUGAAAUUCGUAGAUAUUCGGCGGAACACCAGUGGCGAAGGCGACUCACUGGCCCGAUACUGACGCUGAGGCGCGAAAGCGUGGGGAGCAAACAGGGAUUA